GGAGAUUAAUGUGACAAAUGUUCCACAUCGAUUAGGAAGUUUAAAGUUACAAAGGUCCCAGAUCAGUUAGGAAGUUAAAAUAAUGAGUGACAAGUCCCACAUUGGAUAGGCAUCCAACACCUUGGAUCCUCUCUCCUAUAAAUAAGGAAUGAUAGGAAGUGGGAGAAGCUUAGUGAAGAAGAGAGGAGAAAAAAAAGAGAAAAAGAGGAGAAAAGAAGACGGAAGCUCUCAAGGGUAACCUUUGGGUUUCAGGUAAGCAAUCUCUCUCAUUUUAAUUCAAUUUUUUAUGAGACCUUAAGGGUAGUUUUUUAUUAAUGUGAGGGAUAUUUUUAAGGUUAGAUAUUGCUCAAAAAC
rnacentral:lncRNA from 1 species